GCACUCUUAUUUGUCCCUUCAAGAUGCCUUUCCACCUCCCUCCCAUUGCCCUGGAAACCAGUCUUUGUCAUCCAAGCAGAGCCCUCCUGAAAGCUUACCAGAGCACAAGUCAAGAACCACUUGAUGCAAGUAUGUAAGAUCAGAUAAGAAGACAAUCAGUAGGGUGCCCCAGGCUACUCUAGCAUUUUGUCAAACUGAUAGAAAUCUGCUUUCAGUUGUAAUAAAGGAUGUCUUGGACCCUGAAA